GAACGAACGCUGGCGGCAUGCCUACCCCAUGCAAGUCGAACGAGACCUUCGGGUCUAGUGGCGCACGGGUGCGUAACGCGUGGGAACCUGCCCUUAGGUUCGGAAUAACUCCCCGAAAGGGGUGCUAAUACCGGAUAAUGUCUUCGGACCAAAGAUUUAUCGCCUUUGGAUGGGCCCGCGUUGGAUUAGCUAGUUGGUAGGGUAAAAGCCUACCAAGGCGACGAUCCAUAGCUGGUCUGAGAGGAUGAUCAGCCACACUGGGACUGAGACACGGCCCAGACUCCUACGGGAGGCAGCAGUGGGGAAUAUUGGACAAUGGGCGAAAGCCUGAUCCAGCAAUGCCGCGUGAGUGAUGAAGGCCUUAGGGUUGUAAAGCUCUUUUACCCGGGAUGAUAAUGACAGUACCGGGAGAAUAAGCUCCGGCGAACUCCGU
rnacentral:rRNA from 1 species